CGUAGGUGGCAAGCGUUGUCCGGAAUUACUGGGUGUAAAGGGCGUGUAGGCGGGAAGAUAAGUCAGAUGUGAAAUUCCAGGGCUCAACCCUGGCGCUGCAUCUGAAACUAUUUUUCUUGAGUGCUGGAGAGGGAAGCGGAAUUCCUAGUGUAGCGGUGAAAUGCGUAGAUAUUAGGAGGAACACCAGUGGCGAAGGCGGCUUUCUGGACAGUAACUGACGCUGAGGCGCGAAAGCGUGGGGAGCAAACAGGAUUAGAUACCCUGGUAGUCCACGCUGUAAACGAUGGAUACUAGGUGUAGGAGGUAUCGACCCCUUCUGUGCCGCAGUUAACACAAUAAGUAUCCCACCUGGGGAGUACGGCCGCAAGGUUG
rnacentral:rRNA from 1 species